GCAAAGAACUUUGAAAAGAGAGUCAAAAAGUGCCUGAAAUUGCUGAAAGGGAAGCAAAUGGGAACAGUGUUGGUUAUAGGUUAUAUUUCAGAAGGCGUCUUGACGGCUUGUGCACUGUGACC
rnacentral:rRNA from 9 species